GAUGAACGCUGGCGGCGUGCCUAAUACAUGCAAGUCGAGCGAACAGAUAAUGAGCUUGCUCCUUUGACGUUAGCGGCGGACGGGUGAGUAACACGUGGAUAACCUACCUAUAAGACUGGGAUAACUUCGGGAAACCGGUGCUAAUACCGGAUAAUAUAUUGAACCGCAUGGUUCAAUAGUGAAAGGCGGCUUUGCUGUCACUUAUAGAUGGAUCCGCGCCGUAUUAGCUAGUUGGUAAGGUAACGGCUUACCAAGGCAACGAUACGUAGCCGACCUGAGAGGGUGAUCGGCCACACUGGAACUGAGACACGGUCCAGACUCCUACGGGAGGCAGCAGUAGGGAAUCUUCCGCAAUGGGCGAAAGCCUGACGGAGCAACGCCGCGUGAGUGAUGAAGGUCUUCGGAUCGUAAAACUCUGUUAUCAGGGAAGAACAAAUGUGUAAGUAACUGUGCACAUCUUGACGGUACCUGAUCAGAAAGCCACGGCUAACUACGUG
rnacentral:rRNA from 1 species